CUGAGGGUCUAUGCUUGUGACAAGAAUAUUAUGAUCUGAGGAAACAUGUUUUCCAGAGCACACACCAAUGACAGUUGUUGCUGAGUACUUUGGCCCAGUAUGAAGGAAGUUCCUUCUAUGCCAUGGGAACAGGAAAGAGGUGUCUGCACCUACCAAGAGCAAGUCAAUUUUGAAUGAACACAAGUGAAGACUGGGUAAAGGCAUGUGUAUUAGUUUAAACUGUACAAUGUCCGGGCACUGUGGUCUUGCUAAGUCCCUGCACCUUAACUCAAGAAUUACAGAAGUAAAG